rnacentral:tRNA from 1 species
UCCCAGGUGGCUAAGUGGUAACAGAAUCCACCUGCCAAUGUGGGAGACCCAGGUUUGGUCCCUGGUUUGGGAC